rnacentral:rRNA from 1 species
UACAGAGGUCUCAAGCGUUGUUCGGAUUCAUUGGGCGUAAAGGGUGCGUAGGUGGUGGGGUAAGUCGGAUGUGAAAUCCCGGGGCUCAACCCCGGAACUGCAUUCGAAACUGCCUUGCUCGAGUACUGGAGAGGAGACUGGAAUUUACGGUGUAGCAGUGAAUGCGUAGAUAUCGUAAGGAAGACCAGUGGCGAAGGCGAGUCUCUGGACAGUUACUGACACUGAGGCACGAAGGCCAGGGGAGCAAACGGG